rnacentral:rRNA from 1 species
UUAGCAUGGAAUAAUGGAAUAGGACGUUGUUGUUCUAUUUUGUUGGUUUCUAGGACAACCGUAAUGAUUAAUAGGGAUAGUUGGGGGCAUUAGUAUUCAAUUGUCAGAGGUGAAAUUCUUGGAUUUAUUGAAGACUAACUACUGCGAAAGCAUUUGCCAAGGAUGUUUUCAUUAAUCAAGAACGAAAGUUAGGGGAUCGAAGACGAUCAGAUACCGUCGUAGUCUUAACCAUAAACUAUGCCGACUAGGGAUCGGGCGAUGUUGUUUCCAUGACUCGCUCGGCACCUUAUGGGAAACCAAAGUGUUUGGGUUCCGGGGGGAGUAUGGUCGCAAGGCUGAAACUUAAAGGAAUUGACGGAAGGGCACCACCAGGGGUGGAGCCUGCGGCUUAAUUUGACUCAACACGGGGAAACUCACCAGGUCCAGACAUAGUGAGGAUUGACAGAUUGAGAGCUCUUUCUUGAUUCUAUGGGUGGUGGUGCAUGGCCGUUCUUAGUUGGUGGAGUGAUUUGUCUGGUUAAUUCCGAUAACGAACGAGACCUUAACCUGCUAAAUAGCUAGGCUACUUUUAAAGUGGUCGUCAGCUUCUUAGAGGGACUGUUGCGCGAUUAGCCAACGGAAGUUUGA